GUAGCUCAGAUGGUAAAGCAUCUGCCUGCAAUGCAGGAGACACAGGUUCAAACCCUGGGUC
rnacentral:tRNA from 1 species